GGGUCGUUAGCUCAGUUGGUAGAGCAGUUGGCUUUUAACCAAUUGGUCGUAGGUUCGAAUCCCACACGACCCACAA
rnacentral:tRNA from 1 species